UACGUAGGGGGCAAGCGUUGUCCGGAUUUAUUGGGUUUAAAGGGUGCGUAGGCGGUUUUUUAAGUCAGUGGUGAAAUACGGCAGCUCAACUGUCGAGGUGCCAUUGAUACUGGGAAACUUGAGUACUGAUGAGGUAGGCGGAAUGGACGGUGUAGCGGUGAAAUGCUUAGAUAUCGUCCAGAACACCGAUAGCGAAGGCAGCUUACUAAGGAGUAACUGACGCUGAGGCACGAAAGUGUGGGGAUCAAACAGG
rnacentral:rRNA from 1 species